rnacentral:rRNA from 1 species
UCAUGUAAUGAUUUCCUAGUGGUCGCGUUAAUGCAAUGCAUAACAUAACAAAUCCACAAUUAAGCAUGAUUGGGCUCGAGUAGUACUAGGAUGGGUGACCUCCCAAGAAGUCCUAGGUUUUUACAUGCC